CUUGACUGCCUUCCUAAUUGAUUCUCUAAUCUUUAAUAUGCUUGAAAGUAGUUAGAGAAUGAGUUUUGACUAUUGGAGUACUUGGAAUAGCUGUUAGACCCAAAAACUAGCCAUAAGAAGUAAUUAUGCACACUUCUAAAAAUUUUAUAGAACUAGCCAUUGAAACUCGAGUCAACCCAGAUUGGACUUGAGUCAACUCGAAUGACCUCAUGUCUUCCUUCCAGAAAACAUUCCUUUCUAUUUUUUUCUAUAAC
rnacentral:lncRNA from 1 species